AUUGAACGCUGGCGGCAUGCUUUACACACGCAAGUCGAACGGUAACAGGCCGCAAGGUGCUGACGAGUGGCGAACGGGUGAGUAAUGCAUCGGAACGUGCCCAGUCGUGGGGGAUAACGCAGCGAAAGCUGUGCUAAUACCGCAUACGAUCUAUGGAUGAAAGCGGGGGACCGUAAGGCCUCGCUCGAUUGGAGCGGCCGAUGUCAGAUUAGGUAGUUGGUGGGGUAAAGGCCUACCAAGCCGACGAUCUGUAGCUGGUCUGAGAGGACGACCAGCCACACUGGGACUGGGACACGGCCCAGACUCCUACGGGCGGCAGCAGUGGGGAAUUUUGGACAAUGGGCGCAAGCCUGAUCCAGCAAUGCCGCGUGCAGGAAGAAGGCCUUCGGGUUGUAAACUGCUUUUGUACGGAACGAAACGGUCUGGGUUAAUACCCUGGGCUAAUGACGGUACCGUAAGAAUAAGCACCGGCUAACUACGUGCCAGCCGCCGCCGUAA
rnacentral:rRNA from 1 species